rnacentral:rRNA from 1 species
AUGGGCGAUUUCAAUGAGAUUCUUUAUCCUUUUGAGAAAGAAGGGGGCAAUCCACGUCCUAGUCAUUUUAUGCAAGCAUUUAGAGAAGCCCUGACUGAUUGUAAUUUGGAUUGUGGAUAUGUUGGAGAAAAAUUUACGUGGCACCGUGGACGUAUCCAAGAAAGACUAGACCAAGCUCUGUCAAAUAAGGAGUGGAACCAGAAAUUUGGGAAUGCGGUUCUGAAAAAUAUGGACUACAGCAAGUCAGAUCACAGACCAAUACUUAUGAACACAGAACCAGAAUCAAUCGGCGAGCGGAGUGGGCCUACUGUGCUUAGAUUUGAAGCAAAGUGGCUUAAGGAGGCCCACUUCAGACAGGUUGUUCAAGAUGCUUGGGACCAGGCAGGAGCCCGCGGUUCAAACACAGACCUAGCGGGAAAACUAGCAUUGGUGCAUGAUCAGCUGCAUAAAUGGGAUCGGUCUGUGCUUCAGAAUACAAAGAAAAGAAUCUGUUCUGCCCAACGGGAGCUAGAAAGAGCAGCAAGUGGUCCUAUGAGUGACGAAAAUUGA